GGAGGCGAGCACGGGGUGCGAGCUGGAGCUCUUGUUCUUUUUCCAUUUUGGGAUCGGCGGUUUGGAAGAGGAGGGGUGAGGUAGGAGAGGGUGCGGCGGUGUGGGAGAGGAGUGCGCGGAGUCGCGGGAGGGGAGGAGGGACACGGCGGCCGGGGGAAGGAAGAGGGGCGCGAUCUCGUCUCUACGCGGAGUCAUACCGUCGUCGUCAUGGCAGAGGUACCUGCGCCGCCGCACUGCCGAGGGUCCGUGCCUAGGGGAGGAGGCGGAGGUAGGAGGUGGAGAGGCCAGCGGGACAACGUUGGCACUCGAGAGGGAAAGGAACUGAUGAGAGGAGAGAGUGUAGUGUAGUCUAGCCUAGCCUUGGGACGAAAGAAAAAGACAAGCUAAGUCAGACCUCGUCGUCGUUGACUAAAGGUAGAAGGUCAAGUACAUUUACCGGAACAACACCAACGUGCCACCAGGCACCCCUUGUCCUCGUUUAUGGAAACGAUGUUGGCUCCAGAACUGUCUGGUCAGUCAAUCUCUAUCCAAGCAAAACGUCCCCAACAAUACGAGACAGGGGGCACCAUUCAAACGAUCCGUCGCCGAAUGAGGAUCGAACAAAAAAAUCAAAACUGGUACUAUAGCUUUAAUGUAGACCAGCUACCACAGUUCAAAUCCGUCCAUGGUAGGCGUAAAACACUUCUAACGGUAGUAGAUUUAAAAUAACGCCGUACUACGUAUACAUUAUUCCUUAAACCACAAACUUUUCGUAGUAGCCUUCAACCAUACGAUUAUAGAGUUAACCGUUCUAUUUUCCUAGUGAUGAAGAAUGGAAGGUCAGUAAAAUUAUAAUAUCCUUACGUUCACACAUGAUUCAUCUUUUCUACCAACUUAAAUCACGGGGACGUAAAUGUGCUGAUCCACAAUAAAUCAAAAACAAAGGAAACUACCGAGACUCAUGUUUAACCUCGAACAACCCAUGUUUUACAACGGUUCUAAUCAAAUCCUAGUCUUAACAACAGUACAACAGGUCUAUAACGAGAUUCUCCAAGGAUCUUAAUCAAAUCCUAGUCUCAAUAACAGUACAACAGAUCUAUAACGAGAUUUCUAAGGCCUGCAUGAAAAAUCCAACGAACCAAUAUUAAAAACGGGGGGUUUCCCUUCAAAACCGGUCGAAGAACGAUCUUACAAUAGUAUUCCGAACUAAUUAAAUCUUGUAUGGAAACAGCAAAGUGAGAAUAAAAUAAAAUUAUCAAUAGACCGUACGACAUUUGAUAAAGAAAAUACAAAGGUCCUUCUUUAUCUUCAACUCCCCUUCGAUAACGUACGACCUUUUAGUCAACCACAACAGUUACAACCAAAGUUCUUCUUUUCCUGGCCGUUUAACUACCGAGUCCGUGCAGUAUGUUUCAUGAACAUAGAUCGUCUAACUCUCCCAAGGGAAUACAACAUUCUAUUUUUGGACCAAUAUACAACGUAGAGUUUUAGUUCUACAACUAAGUUCUUCUCUUUCCUCGACAAUCACACGGCACCACUCGCUGGAACAGGGCCUCGUACGUCAAAUAGUCAUAUUUCAUUGCCCAAGUACGAAAUAUGUAGCACAUAUAUACGGUCGGUCCCUCCACCUACCCGAGCAGAGGUGACGCAGCACUCGCGGCGGCGGCGGAGACACUGGUGGAACGAGGCGUAUCAUCGUACACACUCCUUAGCCCCUGUUUCGUUGGUGUUCGUCUACCGCAGCCGACGCUGCCGUUAUACGUGCCACGCGCUUCGGACCAUUCUACCCGCGCCGGAGGGGUGUCCGCAAAGUCCUACCGCACGGGCCGCCGAGCCUUGCGCGCGCGGGCCGCGUGUCCUCCACACAGAACCUCGUCGUACGACCGCCAUUGUACGUGGGACUCCAGGGUCUCGUCGGGUUGGUCAUGUCCUCCUUGGGACGGUAAGGUAGGAGUGGAGAUGAGUAUCUGGUUGUUGUUUUACUAACGAUUACUUUCCAAAUUCAGGUCCAUAUGAGUUUAGUUCCAGAAAAUAGAUUAACCAACCUAUUGAUGAAAUGUCCAGAUACGGAAAUUCAUUUUGAAUUUUGGGGACAAGUUCUUAAGUAGGCUGAUUGGUCAAUUGAACGGCUAAUUAGAGAUGAGCAUCCCAGUGGCUCAUCGGCUAUUUAGCUAUUUAGUAGACUAAUUAACUAAUUUACCGUCUAAUUGAACGGCUAAUCGGAUAAUUAGGGGAUGAGUGGUCGGUUGGCUCGUCGAUGGUCAUUUGCUAAAGGAGUUGUUACGAAUUUUGAUUCGUAAAUUAAUAACAAGAUAACACAAUAACUAAAGUGGCCGAAAUACAGUCGGACUAAUCAAGAUUCCCUAAGGUGUAGCCGAUUAAACCUAAUACGAUGAAAGCUUGUUUUUAUUACUAGUUGCAGCACAUAAAAUGAAAAUUCAUAUUUGCUUGUCAUUUUCUACUCUAUCCCCCGAGGACGAUCCUAUUAUUGUCGUUUUUUGAGUUACGUGUAUAGACUCCUAAAAAUAAACGUCCGACUCUAAGACAUGUAACUAUACUACAUGAGGGAGACAUUUAUUUAUAUUCUCACAAAUCUAUUGAUUUCAUCACUAGGUUUGCGAGAAUAUAAAGAAAUGUCUCCCUCAUAUUCUCUUUAUUAAAUAAAUGAAUAAACCUCUAAUCGGAAAAUCAUAUCCUCACACUAAAGGUCGUUUUUAUUUUAUAUCCUGACACUAUGAAGUUCUAUAAGUACUUUUGUUCAUAAACUAUACAAGUGUAGAUAUAUUGAUGUACAAAUACACAAAAAGUAGGAAAAAGUACAAGUUUAUUUCUAUAUACACACCAAAAACGAGACACGGCUAGUACAAAACCUUCCUAUAAAAGAUACCAUUACAACUUUAUUUCUAUAUAAUGAAAAUUCUUUCCCCGUGAUAUUUAAUAACUUCGCGCGACUUAUUACACUUUUUACAGUGUAUUACUUUGUAAUCAACCACGAUAGGUUUGUGCUAAGACAUGCAAGUCAUCAUUACCCAGUAAGCGAAACGAACCAGUUGGAACGUUGAUUUAGACAUUCUAUUGAAACUUCAAGUGAAACGUGGAUUGCUUUUUUCAACAGGUAAAAAAUUAACUAGUCUGUUGUUAACAAAAUACAGAUGCACGGAAAAAAACCAUGAGUUUAUACAACUAACCACAUAGGAGAAAAAGUCGAAGUUGUAAACCGAGUAAGACCAAAAACCAUUACGAAAGAACUGUCACCUCGUCAGUACCCGGAAAAUAUACACACAUCCAAUACACCCUCGGAAAAUAUCUCGGGAGCACAAAAGUAAAUUUAUAUGAAGCUUUUACAUCUAACUGUUAUUUCCAGUGCUCCAGGUAACGAUUACUUAUUCAUCAGAACGACUUCCACUAUUUAGAGGUUUGACUACCUAUUCGGCUUCCACUAUAAGUUCUCUAGGUAAAGAUUACUUAUUCAUCAGAACGACUUCCACUAUUUAUAGGUUUGACUACCUAUCCGGCUUCCACUAUAAGUUGGAAAACAUAUGACAUCAGCACGACUUCACUUUCGUAGACACCUACGUACAUAUGUACUAAAAGUUAGAAGGAAACAGUUUGAUGCCGUACAUUUCAUACCCUCCUGGUUCACUAAUAUUUGACACAGUUUGGGUACAGAAAUGUACUAAAAAGAUUGUACCUUAAACAGUGAAGUACCUAUGGCCUCAUACAUGUAUCUCGACCUUGCGAAUAACGGAGUACUAAACGAUCACUUUUUAGUUCGUGCUCUGUACACAAUCCUACUACCUAAAGCAAUAAUUUUUCUUCCUACAUUAUAUUCUCGUGAACCUUACGUAAUCUGUAUACAAAUGUCGUGACAUUAACAUCCUAAGGACUAAACACUACGUAUCAGGUGGACGUAAUUAAUCAAAAACAUCAAGGACAUAAAAUAAAGAAUGGCGUUAUAAGACCCAGCAAAGUUUUAAAGACGAGAUGUGUCUUGGAAUUCUUCAAACCCAUACGUGUGUCCAGGAUUAUUAUUACUCGACAAAUCACGUUACGUACACCGGACUAAUGAAGAAAAGAAAACAUGCAACAUGCAAGAACCUCCAGGAAAAAGAGAGAAGACAACUAGUUCAAAAGAAGAAGAAAGAAGACGAAUCGUUCCAAAGAAGGAAGGGAAAAAAACAUCCUUAACGUAAAUAACACACUGGAUACAUAACAGUCACAAGAACGAAGUAACCAGCACAACUAUAAGGCCCAAACCGGGCUGUAACACAAAAGAAA
rnacentral:rRNA from 1 species